rnacentral:rRNA from 1 species
UAGGGAAUCUUCCGCAAUGGGCGAAAGCCUGACGGAGCAACGCCGCGUGAGUGAUGAAGGCCUUCGGAUCGUAAAACUCUGUUAUUAGGGAAGAACAAAUGUGUAAGUAACUAUGCACGUCUUGACGGUACCUAAUCAGAAAGCCACGGCUAACUACGUGCCAGCAGCCGCGGUAAUACGUAGGUGGCAAGCGUUAUCCGGAAUUAUUGGGCGUAAAGCGCGCGUAGGCGGUUUUUUAAGUCUGAUGUGAAAGCCCACGGCUCAACCGUGGAAGGUCAUUGGAAACUGAAAAACUUGAGUGCAGAAGAGGAAAGUGGAAUUCCAUGUGUAUCGGUGAAAUGCGCAGAGAUAUGGAGGAACACCAGUGGCGAAGGCGGCUUUCUGAUCUGUAACUGACGCUAAUGUGCGAAAGCGUGGGGAUCAAACAGG